AUGGAGCAGGGAGGGGUGGGGGCUGCUGCGCUGCUCCUGCUGAGAACCUGGAGUUUGCUCGGAAGUCAAGACCUUACGCAACCCUUGAGCCAAGCAGGGAUAAUCCUCAGUGCUGAGGAGGAAGUGCAAAUCCAGCAUGAUCCGUGCUCCCAAGGGGCUCCCUGGGAAAAGGCAGGGGAGGGUGUUUGUACCCUUCUGGGAUCCCUCCUUCCCCUUCUGGGAUCCCUCCUGUCCCCAGGAAUGCUCCGGGCAGGGCAGCAGAGGGGAUGGGUCCAGCAGUGGUGCAAGCCCUGGCCAGGAAAAAUUCCUGCAAAACAGAACCCAGGCGUGUUGGGACACGGCAAAAUAUCCCCUGCAGCCAGGGAUGUGUCUGACCACAGCGAGCAGGAUCACCCUCCUCCUCCUCGGGGCAGCGUCCUGGUGAUUGUGAAGGCAGAGCCGUGCCCAGCCAAGCCCCUGGGGGCUGAUGUCCCAUCCUGGGCAGGGACAGCUCAGGUUCUGCCAUGCAGGAAUGCUGCUGCACCUCUUCCCAGGGCCUGGGAAGUGCUGGGUCUCCCCUUCACAUCUGCAGCCCCCUCAGGGAGUCUGUCCUCAGGAAGAAUCCCGGGAUCUUUGCUGGGGUCCCCCAAGUCUGACACCCCUGCUGAGCCUCCAGCCUGGCACAUCAGGGAUGCCGGGAGGAUCCCGCUCUCGUUUAGGGAUCCCUCAGUGGGUGUCACCCCAUCCCACCUCCCAUGGGGUAACAAGGCCAGCAGUGCCUGGAUGAGAUGUCCCGGAGCUGUGGCAGCUCCUGCUGGGGGAACAUGCUGGAACAGAGGCUCUUUUAUCUGUGUUUUUCCAGCCAAGCCACGAGGGAGCUGCCUCAUCCAAGGUCGGUGCCCAGGCUGGAUCCAGCCGGGAUCCUCCUCUGCACGAGCCGUGGCUUCUCCCAGGGAGAGGGGGAGGCUUGGGACAACAGCCCUCAAUGCCACUGAGUUGGUGACACAGGAGAUACAAAGUCCAGCUGCCAGCAGGAUGCUGGCCCAGGGAUUCCUGGUCCAAGUCCUAGCUGGGCUCCUGGGGCAGGUUGGACAGACCAACAGAGAGAGACAGAGCUGGGAGUUACAGAAAUCUCACAUGUGGCUUCUGUUCCAUUUUUACUGA
rnacentral:lncRNA from 13 species